rnacentral:rRNA from 1 species
UGGGGAAUUUUGGACAAUGGGCGCAAGCCUGAUCCAGCCAUGCCGCGUGCAGGAUGAAGGCCUUCGGGUUGUAAACUGCUUUUGUACGGAACGAAAAGACUCCUUCUAAUAAAGGGGGUCCAUGACGGUACCGUAAGAAUAAGCACCGGCUAACUACGUGCCAGCAGCCGCGGUAAUACGUAGGGUGCGAGCGUUAAUCGGAAUUACUGGGCGUAAAGCGUGCGCAGGCGGUUAUAUAAGACAGAGGUGAAAUCCCCGGGCUCAACCUGGGAACUGCAUUUGUGACUGUAUAGCUAGGGUACGGCAGAGGAGGAUGGAAUUCCGCGUGUAGCAGUGAAAUGCGUAGAUAUGCGGAGGAACACCGAUGGCGAAGGCAAUCCCCUGGGCCUGUACUGACGCUCAUGCACGAAAGCGUGGGGAGCAAACA